rnacentral:rRNA from 1 species
GACGUAGGAGGCGAGCGUUGUCCGGAGUUACUGGGCGUAAAGCGCGCGCAGGCGGUCACGCAGGUCAUCUGUGAAAGCACUCGGCUCAACCGGGAUGUCGCGGGUGAAACCGCGUGACUUGAGGGUGGGAGAGGUCGGUGGAAUUCCCGGUGUAGUGGUGAAAUGCGUAGAUAUCAGGAGGAACACCGAUGGCGAAGGCAGGUCUCUGGGCUGACACUGACGCUCAUGCACGAAAGCGUGGGGAGCAAACAGG